rnacentral:rRNA from 1 species
CGGAGGGAUCAUUACAGGACGCUCGCGAGAGAUCCUAACCCCCGUGAACCUACCCACAUCGUUGCCUCGGCGGGCGUCCCGGCCUCCGCGCCGGGCGGCGCCACCCGCCGGCGGCCCCCCUACUCCUGUCUCCAGCGUUGGCAUCUCCGAGUCCACACGGCAGAAUCAAAACUUUCAACAACGGAUCUCUUGGCUCUGGCAUCGAUGAAGAACGCAGCGAAAUGCGAUAAGUAAUGCGAAUUGCAGAAUCCAGUGAAUCAUCGAAUCUUUGAACGCACAUUGCGCCCGCCGGCAUCCCGGCGGGCAUGCCUGUCCGAGCGUCAUUUCAACCCUCAGGCUCCGCCUGGCGUUGGGGACCUGCGCGCGCAGCCCCCUAAAGACAGCGGCGGGUGCGCCCCGCGGCCGAACGCAGUAGCACGCUCUCGUUCGGCGCGCGGGCGCGCGCUCCGGCCGUAAAACCCCCCCCUUCCAUCGUGGUUGACCUCGGAUCAGGUAGGAAUACCCGCUGAACUUAAGCAUAUCAAUAAGCGGAGGAAAAGAAACCAACAGGGAUUGCCCCAGUAACGGCGAGUGAAGCGGCAACAGCUCAAAUUUGAAAUCCGGCCCCCCGGGCCCGAGUUGUAAUUUGCAGAGGAUGCUUCGGGUGCGGUGCCUU